AGUAACGGCGUAUGACAACCUACCUAUCAGAGGGGAAUAACCCGGCGAAAGUCGGACUAAUACCGCAUAAACGGGGGCACCGCAUGGUGAUAUUUGUUAAAGAAAUUCGCUGAUAGAUGGGCAUGCGUUCCAUUAGGUAGUUGGUGAGGUAACGGCUCACCAAGCCGACGAUGGAUAGGGGAACUGAGAGGUUGGUCCCCCACACUGGUACUGAGACACGGACCAGACUCCUACGGGAGGCAGCAGUGAGGAAUAUUGGUCAAUGGGGCGGGAGCCUGAACCAGCCAAGUCGCGUGAAGGAAAAGAAGGAUCUAUGGUUCGUAAACUUCUUUUGCAGGGGAAUAAAGUGCAGGACGUGUCCUGUUUUGUAUGUACCCUGAGAAUAAGGAUCGGCUAACUCCGUGCCAGCAGCUGC
rnacentral:rRNA from 1 species